GCCAGCUAUUUGAUCUUAGCUUAGUUAGAUUCAAUAGCUUAGCUUAGCUUAGCUAGGUAGCAUACCAGCUCUGUAGGGAGGACCACCACAGUUACCAGAACAGCUACUAAUCUAGGUUAUGUGAUUUAUGGAACUAAGAUUUCCAACAACACUGUCAAAAAGAUAAACACUUCGCUUGGCUAGCAGGUAUCUCUGCAUUCGAAUGCUGUUUAACACGCCUUCAACCUCCCCUUUACGCCCUGUGUGUAACUUAAUGCUUCAUCAACUUCCUGUUAUAGUGGGGAAACAAAUAAUUAAACAGGAACAUGCUUGACAUUGACAGCAAGAGUUAUGUCGCUGAAAUUAUUUGCUUGGAGUUUUGUGCACUCUGGAUAGCCUUCAGCAUACUAACUAGCUAGCAAGGUGAAGUAACUAAGCUCCAUUAGCUUUGUUUUUUUACAUUUCUAAACAGGUUUGUCCACCAUUUUGACUGACCUCCAUCAGCAGACCUGCCAACCUUCAUGCACCAGAGUAUGUUUACUAGUUAUAAUUCAAAAAUGUGCCAAAUGAGCAGUUGCCCCGCCCCCCCCAUAAAAAAUGCUAGACGAUCCUAUGAAUAUCGGAAUAUGAAACGAUUGACAGUUGCAUUCUCUCUGAUUUUAGCUCACACAACUUGAACCCUUCCCCCACCUCAAAUUAAUAAUAUUUGGGUUGGCAGUCUCUUCUGGACUUGAAGUUCCCGCUCGAAUACUAGCUAGCUUGGCUAACGUUAUACAAGUGUAUAGCUACUAUCUGUUAAGUGUAUUUAUGGCUGAAAAUUUUGGUCGAACACAAAAAAAUUAAACAACAUGGAAAAUGUAGCACGUGUGGAACCAUUUCACGGUUUCGACAAGCAGUCCUUACAGGAUUUCGCGGGGUUUUUUUUUUUGAUCGUUGCGGCCAAAAGGGCUUGAUUUUGCUGCUGCUUUUUUCAAAAGUUGCGAUGCGAUAUGCAGAGUUUUUUUGUGUUUUUUUUUUUUUUGUGGAAAAUUGAAAUCACAGUCGCACUAAAUAGUUUUGCAUGGUCUUUCGCAGUGAUGUUUGUUGGCAAAUGAGACCUUGUAGCUGUACUCAUGUUCGAUGCACGUGAAUCGAAGAUGGCUUUGAUUGAAUGCGCGUCGUGAUGACGUCACGUGACGCGUCUUGGCCCAAAUCUGCGGAAAAUCUGAGGGGUUGGCAGGUCUGCGUCGGAAACAGUAUCUUUGAUUGAAGUUGUAUCCCGUGGUUUUGACGUUUACCCUGAUUCGAUUCCUCAUCUAACAAACUUCGCUCGGGCUAACAGCAACCAAGCGGUCCUUGAGAUGACAGCAGAGAUUCGAGAACGCUGGAGGAAUGGGAAGGGGGCGUCAACGAGGGUGUAUUGAAAAGCAGUAUUCGAAUACAGGACUAAAUUCACUCUGAAUCUUUCUUUAUUGUUGCCCAAGCUAUGUUAAGCUACUGAAGGAAUGGAUAUGCCUUUUUCGCCAUCCGUUAUCAUUCCUACCUGCUGAAAAGACGAGUUACUGGAUUUUCGACUGUGACCUGUGUUUUAAUCCUUGAGUUACAUUACUUGCUUCUUUCUUUAUUUAUUUAGUUUAAUAUAUAGAUAGAUUUCUUAAUAUGGCUGUCACACAACACAAAAAAAACUAUCUUUAUUAGCAGGGAUGCAUUGAUCUGUUCUGUAAAUUUAGAUGUUCCUGUUUGUCUUAAGUAUAGACUUAUCGCAAACUUUAUCAUGUAACAUCACCACUACUCUUUCUUUUGGAUAACUUCAGUUUGACCUACUGCUUAACAUAGAUUCCUGUUUUAACUUCCUCAGUGUAUUAGUUUACUAACACUAACUAUGUUAACUAGCUACCUAAACACAGCACUGCUCUAUUGAAGCUAGCUAGGUCCAAUUCCACGCUAGCUAGUGUUUGGCCUGCUAUUUUAUUGCAUAAUUAAAACGAGUAGCCAGGUUUUUCUAGCUAGCGUACUGUCAAUACGAGAACUGUUGUACCAUGUCAUUUAAAACCAGUAUUUUUUGUUAAGCAGGAAGUUAAAUUAGUGGUGAUGUCACAUGAAGUUUCCAUCUUAAAUCAGUGCAUCCCUGUUUGCUAACAUGGGAAAGGCGGCGGACCAAAUCAUUUAUAGAGUAUGUUGUAGCCUUGUUGAGUGUUUUAGCACAAGACAAAAAUGCUGUUGCCUGAGCAAAAACUGUUUCAUUACACGAGUAUGCUGGUAAUCUGAAAAAUGGCUGCCGUCUAUCGUUGGUGCGUGUGUGUGUGUCCUAACAGUCAUGUGUAUGAACGUAUAUACCACUAUUUCAACAAAAACAAUGCCUAAAUCUGAAAACUUAAAGACUCUCUUGCAGGAGAUGGCCCAUCCUUUAAUGUCGCUUAUCUUUCAAUGCGACUUCCAUAAGCAUGUGAUUUUAUUUCCGAGUAUGUGUGCAUUUAACACAGUUACGCAGUAAUGCCUGAGACCAACGAAGUGGCAAUCAACAUCACGAUAUCAAGUUUGUAUAUGGAGAUCUGGUAUUAAAACUCUUAAAUCCUG